rnacentral:tRNA from 1 species
GCGGGCCGUGCCGCGGCAGCGGGCGGCGACCGCUGCCGCCGAGGUGGAGGCGUUGCGCCGGGCGGCUCGCGACCGGCUGGUCCGCG